GAUGAACGCUGGCGGCGUGCCUAAUACAUGCAAGUCGAGCGAACGGACGAGAAGCUUGCUUCUCUGAUGUUAGCGGCGGACGGGUGAGUAACACGUGGAGAACCUACCUAUAAGACUGGGAUAACUUCGGGAAACCGGAGCUAAUACCGGAUGAUAUUUUGAACCGCAUGGUUCAAAAGUGAAAGACGGUCUUGCUGUCACUUAUAGAUGGAUCCGCGCUGCAUUAGCUAGUUGGUAAGGUAACGGCUUACCAAGGCAACGAUGCAUAGCCGACCUGAGAGGGUGAUCGGCCACACUGGAACUGAGACACGGUCCAGACUCCUACGGGAGGCAGCAGUAGGGAAUCUUCCGCAAUGGGCGAAAGCCUGACGGAGCAACGCCGCGUGAGUGAUGAAGGUCUUCGGAUCGUAAAACUCUGUUAUUAGGGAAGAACAUAUGUGUAAGUAACUGUGCACAUCUUGACGGUACCUAAUCAGAAAGCCACGGCUAACUACGUG
rnacentral:rRNA from 1 species